rnacentral:rRNA from 1 species
CCUACGGGAGGCAGCAGUGGGGAAUAUUGGGCAAUGGGCGCAAGCCUGACCCAGCAACGCCGCGUGAGGGAAGAAGGCUUUCGGGUUGUAAACUUCUUUUAUCAGGGACGAAGCAAGUGACGGUACCUGAUGAAUAAGCCACGGCUAACUACGUGCCAGCAGCCGCGGUAUACGUAGGUGGCAAGCGGUAGCCGGGUUUACUGGGUGUAAAGGGCGGGUAGGCGGGAGUGCAAGUCUGAUGUGAAAACUAGGGGCUCAACCCCUGGCCUGCAUUUGGAACUGUAUUUCUUGAGUGCAGGAGAGGCAAGUGGAAUUCCGAGUGUAGCGGUGAAAUGCGUAGAUAUACGGAGGAACACCAGUGGCGAAGGCGGAUUGCUGGACAGUAACUGACGCUGAGGCGCGAAAGCGUGGGGAGCAAACAGGAUUAGAUACCCGUGUAGUC